rnacentral:lncRNA from 1 species
AGCGAAAUGCUUGUGCUUCUAGUUCCGACAAUGCAGUAAUAUGGUUGAUAUUAACGAUGAAAGGAGGAAUUAUCUGUCUCUCCUAUUGUGUACCGCUGUUAAAUACUGUGGAAAAAUAAAUAAAUAAAAACAGGGAAAAUAAGUACCUAGAACUACCAAUUAUUAUAGAUAAAUAUAAAAGAAAUGUCACGCCCUGACCUGAGAGAGAGGGUUUGUUUCUCUAUGUGGUUAGGUCAGGGUAUGCGGUGGGCAUUCUAUGUUUUGUAUUUCUUUGUGUUGAGCCGAGUAUGGUUCCUAAUCAGAGGCAGCUGUCUAUCGUUGUCUCUGAUUGGGAACCAUACUUAGGCAGCCCUUUCCCCACCUGUAGUCGUGGGAUCUUAUUUUCAGUGUUCUGAUUUAUAAUGAAUAAUAAGAUGAACACUCACCGCGCUGCAACUUGGUCUACUCCUUUGGACGAUCGUUACAAGAAAAGGGUUAACACAACACUGGACUGAACACCCUAAUUGUCAAACUAAUAUUAAUGUACAACAAUAUAGAAGAUACAUAACUAGAGGUUAUGCAAUAUGAGUGUAUAUCCACUGCAUGCUUCUUAGGUGUGUAAUUGACAUGACUCAAGGAGCUAUUGAAAUGUAAAAUUAUGACGUUACACUGCUUGAUUUUACAGGACACAAACAAGAGUGUGCAAUACAUAAGGCUACUCCGUGGACAUUCUGAAGUUUGUUUGAGUCCAGUAGGUCACAUGACCAAGGAACGAUUGAAGUUUUACAUUUUACAUUUUUUUAAAUGUAAAAUCGAGUGAGAUGAAAAUGGACAAACUAAAGGGUGUGUAAUAUAGAAAGGUAGUCAGUGGACAUUCUGGACCUUGUUUGAGUCAAGUAGGUCACAUGACCAAGGAGCUAUUGAAAUUCUAAUGUAAAAAAAAAUAAUACGUUUGUACUUUGUUUACGCUCCCUAAGUGAUUCAACUAAGAAUACAAAAUGCUGCUCACAUUUUCACGUGUUUAUUCGCUUUGGAAAGUGAAAAUAAAACCUGUGCAAUGUUGUGCGCAAUUUUUCCAACAUCAUGACACUUAUUUGGAGUCUGUGGCUGAAGUGUUUGAAUGUGCGUCCGUUGAAUAUCCAACUUGAAACUGUUUUUACCUCGGUGUCAAUACUCCUGUUAGAAACAUAAUUUGCCCAAACGGUAAGCUUCAUCUUGAAGGCAUCCACUUUGUCCCUCUGUUCAAAUCGAUGGUGCCCCCUCCCUUUCUUUGACACACUGAACAAAUUCAGAUGAUCAAAAAUAUCCGCCAGGUAGGCAACUUGCACGAGCCUACCUGGCCCACUGGAAGCCCGAGGUAGGGUUACGGGGGUAGGUUGACCUCAGGUCUCCCCACUGGAUCUCGAGGUAGGGGGGGGGUUGGUUGACCUAAGGUCUCCCCACUGGAAGCUCGAGGUAGGGAUGCGGGGGUAGGUUGACCUCAGGUCUCCCCACUGGAUCCCGAGGUAGGAGGGGGUAGGUUGACCUCAGGUCUCUCCACUGGAAUCCCGAGGUAGGGAUGCGGGGGUAGGUUGACCUCAGGUCUCCCCACUGGAAGCCCGAAGUCGGGGUGCGGGGGUAGGUUGACCUCAGGUCUCCCCACUGGAAGCCCGAGGUAGAGGAAAAUCUAUCAAAUAGCGCACCUCUAACUUUGUACAGUACGAAUGCAAAUUAGUUUGUGUGUUUCUUGUUUGAAGUGCAAUAGUGAAAUAAUCAUGUUCUCUUCUAUAUAAGUGUGUUAUUCUAUUUGUGUAUUUGUGUGUAUGUUGGGGCGGCAGGUAGCCUAGUGGUUAGAGUGUUGGACUAGUAACCGAAAGGUUGCUGGAUUGAAUCCCCGAGCUGACAAGGUAAAAAUCUGUCGCUCUGCCCCCAAUUGCUGCUUGUUAUAGAACCCCCUCAGCCCCCAGCUGUGCC